GGUUAAGCGACCAAGCGUAUACGGUGGAUGCCCUGGCAGUCA
rnacentral:rRNA from 1 species